CCUACGUGAGGCAGCAGUGGGGAAUAUUGGGCAAUGGGCGCAAGCCUGAACCAGCAACGCCGCGUGAAGGAAGAAGGCUUUCGGGUUGUACACUUCUUUUGUCCGGGACGCAGCAAGUGACGGUACCUGACUAAUAAGCCACGGCUAACUACGUGCCAGCAGCCGCGGGAAUACGUAGGUGGCAAGCGUUAUCCGGAUUUACUGGGUGGAAAGGUCGGGUAGGCGGGACUGCAAGUCAGAUGUGAAAACCACGGGCGCAACCUGUGGCCUGCAGUUGAAACUGGAGUUCUUGAGUACUGGAGAGGCAGACGGAAUUCCGAGUGUAGCGGUGAAAUGCGUAGAUAUUAGGAGGAACACCAGUGGCGAAGGCGGUCUGCUGGACAGCAACUGACGCUGAGGCGCGAAAGCGUGGGGAGCAAACAGGAUUAGAUACCCCAGUAGUC
rnacentral:rRNA from 1 species